UACGUAGGGUGCGAGCGUUGUCCGGAAUUAUUGGGCGUAAAGGGCUCGUAGGCGGUUUGUCGCGUCGGGAGUGAAAACUCAGGGCUUAACCCUGAGCCUGCUUCCGAUACGGGCAGACUAGAGGUAUGCAGGGGAGAACGGAAUUCCUGGUGUAGCGGUGAAAUGCGCAGAUAUCAGGAGGAACACCGGUGGCGAAGGCGGUUCUCUGGGCAUUACCUGACGCUGAGGCGCGAAAGCGUGGGGAGCAAACAGG
rnacentral:rRNA from 1 species